GCCCGCUGUGGAGGCGCCCCCCGAGCGGCUUUGCCUUCGUGGUGCAGCUCUGCCAGCACACAGGAGAGCCCCCAUGGAUGCUGCCCUGGGAUGCCCGACGUGCCCGAGCAGCUGGAUCUCAGCAGGCAUCAGCACAGAAGAUGCCCUCUCCUCUAGUGGAAAAGAAGAUCUGGAAGCAAAGGAAGGUAGAGAACUCUAUUCCAAACAAUGCAGAUGCCCAACCUUCAUUUAAAUGAAUUGGUCUGGACCUUCAGUUUAACAUAAACAUUGGGAACAAAUCAGAAUACCUGCUUAACUUUUUUGUAUAAGUAAAUUAUCAAAAUAAAGGUGGAUAAAAUGGUAGGAAAAGGUUAUUCAGAAACAUAUUUUGUCCUGCAGUUACUCCUACAUCAGAUAACUCUCUGUGAUCACUAGGUGAUAAAGUAAAAUCUUUGUUUAACCAGUUAAGCCUGGAGGCAGCAACCACAUCCUAUAAAUGGUGCUGUGUGGUGAAAUAUGGAGGCAAGGUACUGUUAGCUGAAAUUGUGUGAUGUUACUCUCUGCCGUAUCAAGGAUUUGAAGAAAACAAGGAAAAUAUCACAAGCAAAAUCUUUCAGUGAGUCUCUGAGGGUGCCAUAUGAUGUGAACUCAAAAGUGACAUGUGGAACAGGCUACCCCAGCGUCGUUCUUUCAGUCCUCCUCAGUCAGCGUCAUGUGUUCUCUGCAAGUACAGGGUCUGCUUCGUUAGAUGAUUAUAGCAGAUUUGUGUCUCUCAAGAAGAAACAGAAGCUUAAGGUCUUCACGGUUCAGCUUUGUAGCAUAGCCAGGAAAUCUGCCCAUUAGAAUUGCAAGCCUCUUUCAUGCAUGGCCAGUUCCAAAGUUCGGUGCAGCAGGAUUCGGGAAUGAAAAAUGUCAUCUAUAAUUAUGCAUAUUUUCAUCAUCUUCUGUCAUGCAAAUCCCCCCUCCCCAAAUAUGCAGCAAAUGUUUUGUUUGCAUAUGUAGGUCAACCACAAAUCUGCAGUGGUCUAACAUAAAUAUUGGAAGCAUAGGCUGAUGUAAACAAAUUUAAACCCAGUCUGAGAAGCAUAAUAACAACACCGACGUUUUCCAAGUCUGUUUACUAGUUAUGUUUUCUUCUGACAUUUCAUUUUAUAAAACAUUGCUUUCCUGUUGAUUUGCAAAAGCACAACUGACAGAAGAUAUUCACCAUUAUUGCAAAAGGAACUAUAAACUUCAUAAACGGAUGGAUAGUUCUCAAUUAGUAACUUAUUUUUAUACAGGAGCUUGAAGAAUGUAUUAUUUUUCAAAACAGUUUGCCAGAGUAUUUCUUCAAGUAAUUCUUACUUUGUGACGGGAAGGAGCCCAGUUUUAUAUGAUAUUUUAAAAAGAUUGUAUGUUCAUUUUACACAUUAUGCGCCACAAUGUUUUACUUCCCCGGGCUGUCUUAAAAAAAAAUAAAUAGAGAAGAAAUACA